UUCUCCGCUCAAACACCGAACCCUAUCUCGCUUCUUCCGUCUCUUAUCAACACGGACGGACACAUGCAUCAUUACAGCAGAACUUGAUUUUGAACAUAACAUCACAUCAGUUUCAACUCUACUCUGGUUUUCUUCCUGCAGGCCACUAAGGGUAAGUCCCUGCUCCAGUCUUGAUCAGAAUACAUAACGAGGUCCUAUUGGAUAUGGAUAUUAGAAAUAAAUCUUCUCAUCCAGUUGUUUAGUGAUGACAUAUGGUGAAAAUAAGAGGCAUGGAGUUCAAUUUCCCCCCUAAAACAAUUCUCACAAUUCAGUUAUUUACAAACUAAAACUUUUCAUAUAAGGGCAUUUGGUCUAGUGGUAUGAUUCUCGCUUUGGGUGCGAGAGGUCCCGAGUUCGAUUCUCGGAAUGCCCCCUUUUUGAAAUUGAAGGGCAUUUGGUCUAGUGGUAUGAUUCUCGCUUUGGGUGCGAGAGGUCCUAAGUUCCAUUCUCAGAAUGCCCCUUUUUUUAAUUGUUUUGAAGCUCUGGAAGGUUAUCAUUGUUUAAUUCAAUAUGAAUAAACUACCGAUUCACUUUUAUAUUUGUUAAAGAUAUGAAACUGACACGCUCGACUUAUUUUCUGGUGUAUUGGUUAAUUAACAAUUAUGUUUCAGGACUUAUUUGUUAAAGGUGAAUGCCUUGAGAUGAAUGCUCUGAUACAUGAAUCUAUUUAUCUAUUUCUAUUUUAUUAUUUUUAUUCAUUAGUUUUAUAAAAUAUGAUUGCGGAAUUAUAGCGUGACACGUCAUCUUUCAAUAUGCCAAGUAAUCUCUUUUUUGCCACAUCAAAUAUAAUUGAUGUGUACACUCUCAAUUAUUUGUUAUUCACCAUGUCUACUUCUCUUGCAUCUCUCAAAGAACUUCACUACUCUACACAUUGCAUGUUAAUUAAAUAUUACAUUAAUGGACAUAGCAAAUAUAAUCUGAAUGUGAACCAUAACUUUUUUUAUUGUUAUUAAUUUCUGCAUUGUUGCAGUUUGGGUUUAGAUCAUUCUCUAAUCUUAUGACUCUUCUCCUUUCAUAUUGCAGCCGGUUAAAUUUUUGAACAUUACUUCAGGUUAUGUAUCUUCUUCAAUUGCAUAUUGCCUCACCGUUUACCUCGUCUUUUCAUGUUUAUUCAAAGCAUUUGGCUAAAUAUGUCUUUACCGUAAGUGCCCUUCAGCUGUUUGUUGAAAUGUUUCUUCCAACUGUUUGUAUAUAUUCGAAUAUUCUGCUGUAUUUACAUCUUGGAAGUGGGGUUAUACAAAUGUCAUUUUUGGCGCAGGGCACUGCAAAAUGUAAAUACACUAUCUAUUUUUCAAUAGGGAAUUGUUCCUAAAUUCAAUUUAGAAUUGAUCGGAUAAAGAAAAUCAACGAAAAUGGGAAUUAUUGAAUAACCAUAAAAAACUUCAAUUAAUGUUCCUUUAAUGUCCAUCCUUCAUGUGGAUUUGAUGGUUUUCUGAUUUCAUAUCAAGCUCAGAAAAAAAAUUGGGCUUCUUCUAUCUCAGUUAUAGGUAUUAAUAAUUUGUCGGGUUUGAAUGAGGCAUUUGAUUCAGCAGCAUUCCACUGUCUGAGGGAUAGUUCCUCACUAACACCAUAUUCUUGAAGCUUAGUAAUUAGAAAACUGUAGUUUAGCGGAAACGAUAACUCGAGUAUAGUAUCGCAAAAAUUCUUGUUUUAUUAUUAAUCUACUGAAUGGUGUUAGUUCCCUGACAUCACUCCUAUCUUUCUUAGUUAGCAGCAUUCCACUGUAUGAGGAAUUGGGGGCAUAGACAGAAAUCCAAGUGCAGCAUCAAUCUCAGCAUUGUUGGGCUUGCAUUGCUUCAUCAAAGUGGUUUCUGAUUCUUGAUCAGAAUGAAUGAUGAGAUCCUAUUGGAUAUGGAUAUCAAAAAUAAAUCUUGUCCACUUGUUAGUGAUGACAUAUAUAGGCAAAUAAGAGGGCAUUUGGUCUAGUGGUAUGAUUCUCGCUUUGGGUGCGAGAGGUCCCGAGUUCGAUUCUCGGAAUGCCCCCUUUUGAAGCUGUGGAAGUUUGACAUUGUUAAUUGUUUAAUUCAAUAUGAAUAAGCUAGCUUCACUGACGCUGAUACAUGAAUCUAUUUCUAUUUUAUUAUUAUUAUUUCUAUUUUAUUAAAACAGAAUUGCAGAAUUAUAGCAUGAAACCUCAUCUAUCAAUAUGCCAACUAAUCUAUUUUUUGUCACAUCAAAUAUAAUCUGAUGUGUACACUCAAAUAUUUGUUAUUAACCAUUGUCCGCUACUCUUGCAUCUCUCAAUGAACUUCAAUACUCUACACAUUUCAUGUUUUCAAUUAUGAGCUAUGUAGCAGUGACACCUCUGAAAAGAAGGUGCGUCCGCGUUAGUCUUUGUUUCCGACACCGAUAAUUAUUAUUAUGUUUAACUUAUUUGUUUUUUUUCAAAUUAUUACCGGUAUCGACAUUUCAGUGUCGGUGUCGGUGUCGUGUUUCCGAUGUCGGUGUUUCUGAUUAUGAGUGAAGCUGAUAAAAUUCUCAAUUUAGCCUUUUCAAACAAAGUAUUUUAUUGGCUGGAAAUACCUGAGUAAGUUCAAUUUUCAUGUGAACUUCAGAAUUUUAUACACAUGCAGGAUAUUCUAAUUUGAGUAAUAGUCAUUUUUGUAUUGUGCUAAAUGAAAUUAGUAAUGCAGGUGCUACAAGAAAAGAAGGAAGAUUUUGAUUAAUACAUAAGAGAGGCGCUUCCAAUUGAGAUUAUGUACCAUUGGAAAUUAAUCUGUUAGAUUCUAUGUGAAGAUGGAAAGACUAUGAAAAAACCAGGUUUGAUGUAGAAAAUCUGAAGUGUAAAUGGUAAAGAUGUUUUUUUACGACAAUUUAAUUCUAUUAAUUUGCCAUUUAAAUUUCUCUUGGCUCAUUAUUUGAUUCCCUAUUGUUAUAAACUAGAACUUAACAUUUAUCUCACUAUCAUCUUUUUUUGCUAGGUGUAAAUUGUGCGGUACUAUUUCAUCUUUUAUUAGAUAAAUACGUGUAGUGAACAACUUGAUUGCAUCAUUUAGUUAUUCUUUAACUUUUCAUAAAGUAAAUAUUCAAGUUACCCGCGCAACGUGCGGGUAUAUUAGUAGUCAAACUCUUCCUUUUACAAUCACAAUUGACAAAUAAUUUUGCUUUAUAACAAUGGGAAAGAAUUGCAUUGUUAUAUGAAAUAAAGUGUUAGAUGGUAAAAAGCCAACAAUAAAAUACUCGGGGUAGCAUGAGUGAAGUCCCGGUCCAUGAGGAUGCUACAAUGGAGAGAGUUGGGGUAGAAAACUAGCACCUAUUGGAGAUAACAGGUUAAAUAUCGACUUAGAUGGUUAUGAACAUAUAUGGAGUAAACCUAUAGAUUCCAUAUAAGGAGAAUAGAUUCUAUGGAUAGUGGUGACACAAUGAUGUAGAGAAAUAUCAUGAAAUACUAAUGACAAAACUAUUAAGAAAUGCAUAGAGGACCAUUUUUGCUAUAUAUAUGAUCUAUUCUAUGUUAGUAUUAUUUAUAACAUUAUGACGGCUUUUGACUCAAGUAGGCAACUUCACCUAGUGGGACAAAUCAGAUUGUUGUAUAAGAAUGUGGAAAUGUAAGAUGGAUCAUUUUCUUUUUAAUUUCAACUGUGAAAAUGUAAAAUUGGCAAUAUGCAAUCACUCAGGGCAUUUGGUCUAGUGGUAUGAUUCUCGCUUAGGGUGCGAGAGGUCCCGAGUUCAAUUCUCGGAAUGCCCCCUGAUUCCAAAAUUUAGAGUUUUAACUUUUCUAUAAUUUAGUUAAAUACAAAUAAAGCUUGGUUAUUUUAAUUUAUUGUUGAAGAUCUUGAAGCUACAGGGUUGACAAAUUAAUUGGUAAUGUGAAUAUGCAUGUGAUGCUGUUUUUAAUGCAGGGUUGCAUU